rnacentral:rRNA from 1 species
GACGAACGCUGGCGGCGUGCCUAAUACAUGCAAGUAGAACGCUGAAGGAGGAGCUUGCUUCUCUGGAUGAGUUGCGAACGGGUGAGUAACGCGUAGGUAACCUGCCUGGUAGCGGGGGAUAACUAUUGGAAACGAUAGCUAAUACCGCAUAAUAGUAGAUGUUGCAUGACAUUUGCUUAAAAGGUGCAAUUGCAUCACUACCAGAUGGACCUGCGUUGUAUUAGCUAGUUGGUGGGGUAACGGCUCACCAAGGCGACGAUACAUAGCCGACCUGAGAGGGUGAUCGGCCACACUGGGACUGAGACACGGCCCAGACGGCUACGGGAGGCAGCAGUAGGGAAUCUUCGGCAAGGGACGGAAGUCUGACCGAGCAACGCCGCGGGAGUGAAGAAGGUUUUCGGAUCGUAAAGCUCGGUUGUAAGAGAAGAACGAGUGUGAGAGUGGAAAGUUCACACUGUGACGGUAGCUUACCAGAAAGGGACGGCUAACUACGUG